rnacentral:lncRNA from 1 species
UCAACCCUCUAUAACUUCUUCAUCCAAACUCCAAAUUUAUUAAACAAUAUAUGAAAAAUAUAGUUAAAUAAGUGCUCUCUCCAACCAUAGUCACCGAUCUUUUGAUGCUCUCCGUAAACGUAUGUAAUUUCCCAAAGAGUGACAAUAGGUAUGAAAUUGACACCUUAACUUUGAGCGCCAAUAAUUCCUUCUUAAAAACUCCAAA